UGGGGCUCGUUAGCCGUGGUAGGCAAUCUGCCUAGGAGAGCAAACUCCGAACAACAAACCCGGGCAGGUGAGGUUCGUUAGCCGUGGUAGGCAAUUCACCUAGGAGAGCAAACUCCGAACAACAAACCCGGGCAGGUUGGGCUCGUGAGCCGUCAUAGGUAAUACACCUAGGAGAGCAAACUCCGAACAAUAAACCCGGGCAGGUGGAGGUCGUUAGCGAAAGCAGUUCAUCUAGGAGAGCAAACUCCGAUUACAAAACCGGGCAGGUGGAGGUCGUUAGCGUGAGCAGUUCACCUAGGAGAGCAAACUCCGAUUACAAACCCGGGCAGGUGGAGGUCGUUAGCGAAAGCAAUUCAUCUAGGAGAGCAAACUCCGAUUACAAACCCGGGCAGGUGGAGGUCGUUAGCGAAAGCAGUUCACCUAGGAGAGCAAACUCCGAUUACAAACCCGGGCAGGUGAGGUUCGUUAGCCGUGGUAGGCAAUUCACCUAGGAGAGCAAACUCCGAACAAUAAACCCGGGCAGGUUGGGCUCGUGAGCCGUCAUAGGUAAUACACCUAGGAGAGCAAACUCCGAACAAUAAACCCGGGCAGGUUGGGCUCGUGAGCCGUCAUAGGUAAUACACCUAGGAGAGCAAACUCCGAUCAUAAAACCCGGGCAGGUUGGGCUCGUGAGCCGUCAUAGGUAAUACACCUAGGAGAGCAAACUCCGAUCAUAAAACCCGGGCAGGUUGGGCUCGUGAGCCGUCAUAGGUAAUACACCUAGGAGAGCAAACUCCGAACAAUAAACCCGGGCAGGUUGGGCUCGUGAGCCGUCAUAGGUAAUACACCUAGGAGAGCAAACUCCGAUCAUAAAACCCGGGCAGGUGGAGCUCGUCAGCCGUGGUGGGCAAUCUGCCUAGGAGAGCAAACUCCGAACAAUAAAACCGGGCAGGUGGAGCUCGUCAGCCGUGGUGGGCAAUCUGCCUAGGAGAGCAAACUCCGAACAAUAAAACCGGGCAGGUGGAGCUCGUCAGCCGUGGCAGGCAGUCUGCCUAGGAGAGCAAACUCCGAACAAUAAACCGGGGCUUGUGGUGCUCGUUAGAUGUCGUAGACAAUCCACGUGAUGGGAACACCAAAGAAAAGGAAAAUAAAAAGGAACACCAGAAAAAGGAAAAUAUAGUAACAAAACAUCAGGAAAAUAAAAUAAAAAAACACAGAUCAUCCACCUUCAGGCCCUAACAUCUCCAAAAUUAUGGGUGAGUCUUUUCUGGGGAGAAAGAGGCUCAUCCAGACCAAAGAACAUCAAAAAGG